rnacentral:rRNA from 1 species
UGGGGAAUAUUGCACAAUGGGCGAAAGCCUGAUGCAGCAACGCCGCGUGAGUGAUGAAGGCCUUCGGGUUGUAAAGCUCUGUCUUUUGGGACGAUAAUGACGGUACCAAAGGAGGAAGCCACGGCUAACUACGUGCCAGCAGCCGCGGUAAUACGUAGGUGGCAAGCGUUGUCCGCAUUUACUGGGCGUAAAGGAUGCGUAGGCGGAUUUUUAAGUGAGAUGUGAAAACCCUAAGCUUAACUUGGGGACUGCAUUUCAUACUGGAAAUCUAGAGUGCGGGAGAGGAGAAUGGAAUUCCUAGUGUAGCGGUGAAAUGCGUAGAGAUUAGGAAGAACACCAGUGGCGAAGGCGAUUCUCUGGACCGUAACUGACGCUGAGGCAUGAAAGCGUGGGUAGCAAACAGGAUUAGAUACCCUGGUAGUCCACGCCGUAAAACGAUGAGUACUAGGUGUAGGAGGUAUCGACCCCUUCUGUGCCGCAGUUAACACAAUAAGUACUCCGCCUGGGAAGUACGAUCGCAAGAUUAAAAACUCAAAUGAAUUGACGGGGUCAUAGCUGUUUUCCU